rnacentral:rRNA from 1 species
CGUACACUCCUGCGGGAGGCAGCAGUGGGGAAUAUUGCACAAUGGGCGCAAGCCUGAUGCAGCCAUGCCGCGUGUGUGAAGAAGGCCUUCGGGUUGUAAAGCACUUUCAGCGGGGAGGAAGGCGAUACGGUUAAUAACCGUGUUGAUUGACGUUACCCGCAGAAGAAGCACCGGCUAACUCCGUGCCAGCAGCCGCGGUAAUACGGAGGGUGCAAGCGUUAAUCGGAAUUACUGGGCGUAAAGCGCACGCAGGCGGUCUGUCAAGUCGGAUGUGAAAUCCCCGGGCUCAACCUGGGAACUGCAUUCGAAACUGGCAGGCUUGAGUCUUGUAGAGGGGGGUAGAAUUCCAGGUGUAGCGGUGAAAUGCGUAGAGAUCUGGAGGAAUACCGGUGGCGAAGGCGGCCCCCUGGACAAAGACUGACGCUCAGGUGCGAAAGCGUGGGGAGCAAACAGGAUUAGAAACCCCAGUAGUCCCA